rnacentral:lncRNA from 1 species
CUCGAAAGGAAAUGUUCAUUUCUCGAUGGAACUCAAGGACCUUCCUUUCCUCUACUCUUACAAUUUUCACAAAAAGUCAGAAGCAAAGAAAGGAAAGAAGCUUUAUUUCACAAGUAGGAGAGGACUUACUCAAGUUCAGAAACUCUGAUGAGGCCACGUUUUCUAAGAUAGAGACUUCGAAGGGGCUGGAAGUCAUGCGUGGGUAUGAUGCCUCUCUCUUCCUGCCUUUCAGUCUGGAAGAAGAAGGGACAAAGGGGAGGACGUUUCUUCUCUCCGCUUAAAUUGCUCAACCUCUUACUUUGGCCUGAGAAGGCCUGGAGCAGGUUGCCAAGGAACACCAGAUACCUGAGGAAGGCUUUUAACAUGGAAGAUAACAACCAAAACACAAAGACAAAAACAAAAACAAAAGCAGCUACUUGGAAGAAACAAUUCAAUAAGAAGAAAAAAACUAACAAAUAGUCAGAUAAGAGAAGACAUUGCAUGUAUGAAACAAGAACAGAACGGAAUAAAAAAGAAAAAUUCAGAGAACAAAACGUGCUUGUGGAAAUUAAACACGGGAGAAAUGAAAAACUAAAUAAAGGGUUGGAAGAUUAUGUUGAAGUUAUUUUUAAGACAAGAGAAGAAAAAGACCAACAAAUAGGAAAUUGAACAUGCAAGAUAAGAAAAGUAGAAAACCAACCUAGAAAGUCUAAAAUAUGAAUAAUAGAGACUCUAGAAGGAGAGAAUGGAAAAAUAAUGGGUGAAAUCAUUAACAAAAUAAUUUGAGAAGAAUCCUUCCAGAACUGAAACACAUGAGUUGCCAGAGUGGAAGGCUCCAGUGAAAGUCCAAAAAGGUUGAUCAAAAUAUAUCCAUACCCAGCCUCAUGGUUGUGAAAUAUCAGAACACUAAGGAUAAAAAGAAGAUUUCACAAACUUCCAGAUUAAAAAAACAAGUCAUAUACAAAAGAUCAGGAAUCAAAAUGAUUUGGAUAUAUCUCAACAAAAACACUGGAAACAAGCAGGCAAAACUCUGAAAAGAUAAUAUUUCCAACAUAGAAUUGUAUAACCAAGUAAACUACCAUAUUAAUAUGAGAAUAAAAUAAAGACAUUUUCAUAUAUGCAAGUCCUCAAAAUAUGUACCUUUCACAUACCCUUUAUUAAGAAGCUAGAGGGGGAUGUGCUCUAAAUAAGUGAACAAACCAAAAAAGGAAUACAGG